UACGUAGGGACCGAGCGUUGUCCGGAUUCAUUGGGCGUAAAGAGCUCGUAGGCGGCUGUUCAAGUCGAACGUGAAAACUCGGAGCUCAACUCCGAGCCUGCGUUCGAUACUGGACGGCUAGAGUCUGGUAGGGGGAUCUGGAAUUCCUGGUGUAGCGGUGAAAUGCGCAGAUAUCAGGAGGAACACCGAUGGCGAAGGCAGGUCUCUGGGCCGAUACUGACGCUGAGGAGCGAAAGCGUGGGGAGCGAACAGG
rnacentral:rRNA from 1 species